CUCGUAGGCGGCCAACUAAGUCAGACGUGAAAUCCCUCGGCUUAACCGGGGAACUGCGUCUGAUACUGGAUGGCUUGAGGUUGGGAGAGGGAUGCGGAACUCCAGGUGUAGCGGUGAAAUGCGUAGAUAUCUGGAGGAACACCGGUGGCGAAGGCGGCAUCCUGGACCAAUUCUGACGCUGAGGAGCGAAAGCCAGGGGAGCAAACG
rnacentral:rRNA from 1 species